GUUUUUCAUCAAAACCUCUUCUCCUCCAUCCAAUUUCCCAUUCCGUACCAAACACGUCCUUGCACUUCACAGGUAAUUCAUUUAUCUUCUUCCUUUCUGUUCUUGUUCUUUCCUUCAAAUCCAUUGCAGUUUUCAGGUUAUCUUAAUUUUAACUUAUCGGGAAGAAAAGUGAAAGGAAAGGAAAGGUUUCCGUUCACUAAUUUGUUUGUAUCCAAACAAACUGCAGUCAAACUGCGCGUGUGAGAUACUUGGACCCACCACAGAUCGUCGUAAGUUAGCAGUUAGCACUCACCAACCGCAACAAUGAUUAUCAACGCGAAGGAGUCAACGCUGGUGCAGCCGGCGGAGAAGACGCCACGGUUGGGGUUGUGGAACGCGAACGUCGACCUCGUAGUGCCGAGAUUCCACACCCCAAGCGUCUACUUCUACAGACCUACUGGUGCUCCCAACUUCUUCGAUCCAAAUGCGGUCAAGGAGGCUCUCAGUAAGGCCCUCGUGCCUUUCUAUCCGAUGGCCGGACGGUUGCGGAGAGACGAGGAUGGUCGUAUUGAGAUUGAUUGCAAUGCCAAGGGCGUGUUAUUUGUCGUGGCGGAGACGAGCUCGGUCAUCGAUGACUUCGGUGAUUUCGCUCCAACUUUGGAGCUCAAGAAGCUUAUUCCAACCGUGGAUUACUCCGGCGGGAUAUCUACCUAUCCUCUCUUAGUUUUGCAGUUGACGUACUUCAAAUGUGGUGGAGUUUCACUUGGAGUUGGUAUGCAACACCAUGCGGCUGAUGGAUUUUCCGGUCUUCACUUCGUGAAUGCAUGGUCAGAUAUAGCUCGUGGUCUUGACAUUACCAUUCCCCCAUUCAUUGACCGCACCCUACUCCGUGCCAGAGACCCACCUCAGCCUGCAUUCCACCACAUUGAGUACCAGCCUCCUCCAGCCAUGAAGGUUCCUGCAGAAAACUUGAAACCAGAUGGUACAACAGUCUCCAUUUUCAAGUUGACAAGGGAUCAGCUUACCACACUCAAAGCCAAGGCAAAGGAAGAUGGAAACACUAUAAGUUACAGCUCCUAUGAGAUGUUAGCAGGUCAUGUAUGGAGAUCAGCUUGCAGGGCUCGUGGACUUGCAGAUGAUCAAGAAUCCAAAUUAUACAUUGCAACCGAUGGACGGUCCAGAUUACGCCCCCCACUUCCACCUGGUUACUUUGGCAAUGUGAUCUUUACAGCAACACCAAUUGCAGCAGCAGGUGAUCUGCAAUCAAAGCCAACCUGGUAUGCUGCAGGCCGGAUUCAUGAUGCAUUGGUUCGUAUGGACAACGAUUACUUAAGGUCAGCCCUUGAUUACCUGGAGCUUCAGCCUGAUUUAUCAGCUCUUGUUCGUGGAGCCCAUACAUUUAAGUGCCCAAAUCUUGGGAUUACCAGCUGGGUUAGGCUGCCCAUCCAUGAUGCAGAUUUUGGAUGGGGCAGACCCAUAUUUAUGGGGCCUGGUGGGAUUCCUUACGAGGGUCUUUCCUUCAUCUUGCCCAGCCCAACAAAUGAUGGGAGCUUAUCAGUAGCCAUUGCAUUGCAAUCAGAACAUAUGAAACUCUUUGAGAAGUUCAUCUAUGAAAUUUAAGAAAUUGAGCCGCUGGCAAUAAAUCAAAGCCAAGGCAGUUUCACAUGGUACCAGAAAUUUUUUUGCUCCUUUCUUUUAUUUUCUUAGUGGCUUUGUUAUCUUUAGUUCUCUACGCAUGGUUAAUGCAAGAAGGGAUUUACAGGGAAAAUGUCCCUUCGAGAGGGCUCGUGUUGUACAUCUGUCACCUGUGAACAAAUGUUAACUUUUUGGAAGAAAAUUAAAAAUUAAUAUGGUUGAAUUUUG
rnacentral:misc_RNA from 1 species